rfam:Salmo salar isolate Sally breed double haploid chromosome ssa10, whole genome shotgun sequence.
UGCAUUCACUACUGUAAGUCGCUCUGGAUAAGAGCAUCUGCUAAAUGACCAAAA